GAGAAAGAGAAAGGAAGAAACAGAUAAUGGACAAGGAGGAAGCGUCUACAGCUAAUCCGAAUUCUAGUCGAAGGGUUCCGAGAGUUGCUAAUAGACUGCGAACGCGGUUAGGUAUGGCUCGACGAAACGUUAGGGAACGGAAAGCCGAAGCCUUAGCUCUAGGCAUGUCGUUUGCGGCUUUUGCCACUCUGGUUGUUGAGAAAAAGAAUGCUGCCGAUGAGAAUACAGAUGUGGCUGAUCUCGCAUUGAUUUAUGCUUCUGCUGUCAAAGAAUCUUUAGCCAAUGUAUACGGUACUAGGAUUGGUUCAUUUGGAGAGAGAUCAUUUAACAGUACCCUAAGGAUCCUUAAAGUGACCAAUGAUUCUGUCGAGAAAUCCAAGCUAGAGAUGGGCGUUUCUGAAGCUGCACUCAGAACCGAGAGGUUGGACGCCGACGACCAAACAUAUGAAACCGAACUGGAAGCCGAGAUGAGCACAGUCAUCAUGAAUUGGCUCGUCUCAAGUGUCAUCAACGCUCUGGCGUGGAUGUUAUAUGUUUCACGUGCCUUCACACGAACAUGCAUGAAAGAAAACAUGUUGAUGUGCCGGCAACCAUUUUGGUUGCAGAUCUAUUUCGCUAUCUUAGUGAUCCUCGUAGUCACCUACUUGAUAAUCCAUCGUUCACCAGGUACAAAACAUAGCACGCGAGCACCUUAUAGCCUUCUUUUACUCGGAGGUAUUUUUUACGGUUUAUUGGAUAUGUACUUGGGGGACGCAUUGGACAGUAUUGGCAAACUGUGGCUGUUUCUUUGGGCAACGGUUUGCCUUCUUCGAUACGUUGCAGAUACCAUCACUUUGGCUAUGUUUGGUCUAGUGUACGGUCCACGAUAUGUGACUCAAGAGACCAAAACACGCACUAUGGUUCCGUAUUGGGAACGGGCAAGUUCAUUACUUGUAGCGAUUCUGUUGUUUAUUCCUCUGAUUAACGGUUUCUUGCCAUUUGCAACGGUUGGUGAAUUGGGAGAUCAGUUUGGUGAAUGGUGGACAUCACACUUCUCAAUCCUCGCGUCUGCAGUUAAUCUUUGAUUAUUUAUUUAUUUCUUUUACCAUUUGCAUUUGGGACUUUUUUUUAUCUUGUAAUUUUUGAGCUUUUGGGGUUUUUUUUUUGUGUGAGUUGUCCAAACUUCUGCACUCUUAGACCAUGAUUAUCGCCGAUGUUUAAUGGAGUUUCUAAACUAAAUGACUGAUUUAAUUAAAUAAAAAAUAAAUAAAAGCUUUAUUACCGAUCCUUAGUUAGUGAUUUUUGUGAUCGAUCGUUAGAGUGGUUUUCCAACCACGUGUCAGUAUCCCAUUUAAUCAACUUUUUUUCUUUUCUCUCUUUCUUUACUUUCUCAUCACUUCUCGUCGUGAUCUCCGUCUGCGAAAGGAUCCAAACCGACGACGGACGAAACCCACCAUCGACGUCUCCUCCAUCUUCUCCAUCAGAAGAAGGAUCGAAACCCACCACAAUCCACAAACGAACUUUUUUCUGUUAAAAUCUUAAGAGAAGCUAAAAGAAUCACAGAGGAAGCAAGUCAAGUGUUGAGAGAGAUAUAUAAAGGCGAUGGCUUUUCUGAGUAAAUUCGGAAACGUAUUGAAGCAGACGACGAGCAAACAGCUCAAUGCUAAUUGUUCUUUAUCAAGUCCUUCCCUUUUUCAGGCGAUAAGGUGCAUGUCAUCUUCUAA